UACGUAGGGUGCGAGCGUUGUCCGGAAUUAUUGGGCGUAAAGGGCGUGUAGGCGGUCCGGUAAGUCAGCUGUGAAAGUCAAGGGCUCAACCCUUGAAAGCCGGUUGAUACUGACGGGCUAGAGUUCGGAAGAGGCGAGUGGAAUUCCUGGUGUAGCGGUGAAAUGCGCAGAUAUCAGGAGGAACACCAAUUGCGAAGGCAGCUCGCUGGGACGUAACUGACGCUGAGACGCGAAAGCGUGGGGAGCGAACAGG
rnacentral:rRNA from 1 species